UACGAAGGGGGCUAGCGUUGCUCGGAAUCACUGGGCGUAAAGCGCACGUAGGCGGAUCUUUAAGUCAGGGGUGAAAUCCUGGAGCUCAACUCCAGAACUGCCUUUGAUACUGGCGAUCUUGAGUCCGGGAGAGGUGAGUGGAACUCCGAGUGUAGAGGUGAAAUUCGUAGAUAUUCGGAAGAACACCAGUGGCGAAGGCGGCUCACUGGCCCGGUACUGACGCUGAUGUGCGAAAGCGUGGGGAGCAAACAGG
rnacentral:rRNA from 1 species